rnacentral:rRNA from 1 species
AGGACGAACGCUGGCGGCGUGCCUAAUACAUGCAAGUCGAACGGUCUUUCUAUGGAAGCUUGCUUCCACUGAGAAGAUAGUGGCGAACGGGUGAGUAACACGUGGGUAACCUGCCCAUAAGAGGGGGGAUAACAUCCGGAAACGGGUGCUAAUACCGCAUAGUUUUCUUGAUCGCAUGAUUGAGAAAGGAAAGACGGCCUUCGUGCUGUCGCUUAUGGAUGGACCCGCGGCGUAUUAGUUAGUUGGUGAGGUAACGGCUCACCAAGACGAUGAUACGUAGCCGACCUGAGAGGGUGAUCGGCCACAUUGGGACUGAGACACGGCCCAAACUCCUACGGGAGGCAGCAGUAGGGAAUCUUCCGCAAUGGACGAAAGUCUGACGGAGCAACGCCGCGUGAGUGAAAGAAGGUUUUCGGAUCGUAAAACUCUGUUGUCAGAGAAGAACAAGUUGGAGAGUAACUGCUCCAGCCUUGACGGUAUCUGACCAGAAAGCCACGGCUAACUACGUGCCAGCCGCCGC